rnacentral:rRNA from 1 species
GAGUUUGAUCCUGGCUCAGAACGAACGCUGGCGGCGUGCUUAACACAUGCAAGUCAGGGAGAAAGUCUCUUCGGGGAUGAUUAAACCGGCGCACGGGUGAGUAACACGUGAGUGACCUGCCUUUUAGACUGGAACAACUUACCGAAAGGUGAGCUAAUGCCGGAUGAGUUAUAUAAGUGCAUGUUUAUAUAGGAAAAGUUGGGGAGACCUGACGCUGAAAGAUGGACUCGCGUCCCAUUAGCUAGUUGGUAGGGUAAUGGCCUACCAAGGCGACGACGGGUAGCCGGCCUGAGAGGGUGGCCGGCCACACUGGGACUGAGACACGGCCCAGACUCCUACGGGAGGCAGCAGUGGGGAAUUUUGCGCAAUGCUCGUAAGAGUGACGCAGCGACGCCGCGUGAAUGACGAAGGCCUUCGGGUCGUAAAGUUCUUUCGACAGGGAAGAAAAUGCCUAUAAGUAACUGUGUAUGUAUUGACGGUACCUGUAUAAGCAGCCCCGGCUAACUCCGUGCCAGCAGCCGCGGUAAUACGGAGGGGGCGAGCGUUGUUCGGAGUGACUGGGCGUAAAGAGCACGUAGGCGGUGUUGUAAGUCAUUAGUCAAAGACUAGAGCUCAACUUUAGUAAGGCUAGUGAUACUAUAAUACUAGAGUAUC